UCGUGUCGUGAGAUGUUGGGUUAAGUCCCGCAACGAGCGCAACCCUUAUUGCUAGUUACCAUCAUUAAGUUGGGGACUCUAGCGAGACUGCCAGUGAUAAACUGGAGGAAGGUGGGGGAUGACGUCAAAUCAUCAUGCCCCUUAUGACCUGGGCUACAAACGUGAUACAAUGGCUGAAACAAAGGGCAGCGAAGGAGCGAUCUGGAGCGAAACCCAAAAAAGCAGUCUCAGUUCGGAUUGAAGUCUGCAACUCGACUUCAUGAAGUCGGAAUCGCUAGUAAUCGCGGAUCAGAACGCCGCGGUGAAUACGUUCUCGGGGUUU
rnacentral:rRNA from 1 species